CUCGGCUGUGCUUCGGCCGUGGGGGCGCGGGACUUCUGGGCUCCCCACUUCCUACCUCCGGCUGCCGGGCCCGCAAGUCCUUCUGGAGGCCGCCCCCGGGGCGCCCAGCGGACACCAUCUUAGUCCCUCUGGCCUCUGGACCUUGAUUGUGUCAGACAGCAGAGCACCUGUGCGAGGUGCUGGAGACGCGGAGAUCAGAGAUCAGGCGCAGCCUCUGUCCUGCCGCUCACCCUCCGGCGAAGGGUGGUGGCCCUGAGGUCAUCACAGCCUCGGGCUUUCUGCAGUCCCGCCGGGUGUCCUGCGGGCAAGCUCUGAGGAUUCUUGUCCUGAUCUCUCCGGCCACACCUCGCAGGGUCCAGUGUGGAGUGAAGAAUGUCAGAUGUUUUUAAACACGACCUUCCUCAAGGUAGCAGUAAUGUCCCCCAGACUGAAACCUAAACUUGAAAACUCCUAGGAUUAGGGACUGCAAGUCCUCCUUAGCCAUGCUUCUCUUUCUAAAUAAUCUUGAGGAAGGUGAAGAUGUGGGCCUUCUGUUUUCAUUAGCGCAAAGAAGCUUGAAAGAAGCCCAAUAUAUAAAAGCAUAAAAAUUCAUAGUGUUGUAUAUAGUACAUACACAUAACUCGUUGUAGGAAAAGUAGCUGUUAAAACUGUAUAAGGCAUAGAACAAAGUAUAGUAUGCUACCAUUUGCAAGUAUGUGCAUAUAUUUUUAUAUAUUCAUAGAAACUUCAUUGAGAAUCAGGAAGUUGUUCCAAGAACAUGCUGAAGAGGGGGCACCUCCUGUCUGGGUGGGAGAGAGACUCAACUUUUCAUUGCAUACCUCUAUGUAUUAUUAAGAUGAAACUGGUUUUACCAUGUGCAUGCUGUUACUCUUUCAUCUUUUUAAUAGAAAUUAACUUUAGCUUUCCUUAAAAAA